rnacentral:rRNA from 1 species
UACGUAGGGUGCAAGCGUUGUCCGGAAUUAUUGGGCGUAAAGAGCUCGUAGGCGGCCUGUUGCGUCCGCUGUGAAAUCCCGGGGCUCAACCCCGGGCCUGCAGUGGAUACGGGCUGGCUGGAGGCAGGCAGGGGAGAACGGAAUUCCUGGUGUAGCGGUGAAAUGCGCAGAUAUCAGGAGGAACACCGGUGGCGAAGGCGGUUCUCUGGGCCUGUUCUGACGCUGAGGAGCGAAAGCGUGGGGAGCGAACAGG